rnacentral:tRNA from 1 species
GCGCGGGUGGCGGAAUGGCAGACGCGCUAGCUUGAGGUGCUAGUCCCGGAAACGGGGUGGGGGUUCAAGUCCCCCUCCGCGCA